rnacentral:rRNA from 1 species
UCGAACGGUAACAGGAAGCAGCUUGCUGCUUCGCUGACGAGUGGCGGACGGGUGAGUAAUGUCUGGGAAACUGCCUGAUGGAGGGGGAUAACUACUGGAAACGGUAGCUAAUACCGCAUAACGUCGCAAGACCAAAGAGGGGGACCUUCGGGCCUCUUGCCAUCGGAUGUGCCCAGAUGGGAUUAGCUAGUAGGUGGGGUAACGGCUCACCUAGGCGACGAUCCCUAGCUGGUCUGAGAGGAUGACCAGCCACACUGGAACUGAGACACGGUCCAGACUCCUACGGGAGGCAGCAGUGGGGAAUAUUGCACAAUGGGCGCAAGCCUGAUGCAGCCAUGCCGCGUGUAUGAAGAAGGCCUUCGGGUUGUAAAGUACUCUCAGCGGGGAGGAAGGCGACAGGGUUAAUAACCCUGUCGAUUGACGUUACCCGCAGGAGAAGCACCGGCUAACUCCGUGCCAGCAGCCGCGGUAAUACGGAGGGUGCAAGCGUUAAUCGGAAUUACUGGGCGUAAAGCGCACGCAGGCGGUCUGUCAAGUCGGAUGUGAAAUCCCCGGGCUCAACCUGGGAACUGCAUUCGAAACUGGCAGGCUAGAGUCUUGUAGAGGGGGGUAGAAUUCCAGGUGUAGCGGUGAAAUGCGUAGAGAUCUGGAGGAAUACCGGUGGCGAAGGCGGCCCCCUGGACAAAGACUGACGCUCAGAUGCGAAA